rnacentral:tRNA from 1 species
GGUCCGGUAGCUCAGCUGGAUAGAGCAACAGCCUUCUAAGCUGUAGGCCCUUGGUUCGAAUCCAAGCCGGAUCA